ensembl:lncRNA
AGCAAAAAUCCUGCUCAUUAUAGCCAGCAGAGAACUGCCUAUUGAGCACACUAACAGGGGAAAGGUUGUGCUUCCUGCCUUACAGAACAGGCCUGGGCUACUGACCUUGCUCUAACUAAGCCUCUUCCCUGAUUAAAAGAUGGCAGCAGAAGGGCAGUCUGACAUAACAGUCUCUGACACCAAAGUGUGGGUGAAGCAGAGAUGUCACUGAAUUCCUCUAUGUUGAAUGUUUAUGGAGACCAAUCAGAGGAUUUUAGCACAAAAUGAAGUUCCUUUGGCUGGAAUUCAGCAGCUCCCUUUGUCAUCGUUGACCAUGAAUGGAUGAACUUCAUGUAGAUGAUGCCCAUUUCCCAUCUUUGAAUCAAACAUUAAUACCAUUUGACAGUAAUAAAUAACAUUUAUCACAAUAGGGAUCUACUAAUGAUUUUCCCACUAAGCUGGCUCAUCAGAACCUAUCAGCUGACAACUGCAUAAAUGAGAUUAGCAUAACAGCUGCCUAUGACAAAUGUAUCUAAAUCAUUUUAAUGCCAGCUAGCUCUUUGAUCUCCCUAUCACGUUGUUGCCAAAACUAAAUCCAUUUCUUCAAGAUACAUGUUGUUUAUUACAGAUACAUGUGUAUAUUCCACACCAUUAUGUACUCCAGAGAUUUCAGUAAUUAAAAGAAUUAAAAAUACUGAUUGGAUACUGCCACUAUAAUGUAAACUUGCAACUCUGCACUUCAGAACAGCAUUCCACUGCCUACUUAGUCCCCUCCUCCUUCUCCAGAUUGCAGAAUUCAGUGUUUAAUAGCUGCAUGUUUCUCUGACACAAAAUACAUGUUUUAACGUAAAUACAUGUAUUAACUUCUCUUUCUGAGUAUCCCUUACAGCGGCAUCAUUUUCAUACAAUUUAGACUAAUUCCCAGUAAUAUAGGAGUUGGCUCCAGGCAAAUAUUGAAGCAACGAGUCAUUGCGUGUGCUUGUAUGAAUGCAAGACUGACAAAGAAAAUCUCACUGGUAGUGCAGCAUUCAUGUUGUGACUGUUAUUAAAGGGUUGCCUAUGAGAUUGUCAUACAAUCUCAUGACAACAGACUUCAGACAGACCAAUGACAAUAGCACUUCCAUAACCACACUUCUAAAAGCAUCUCACUAACUUCCAAACACUGCUCAGCAGAAAGCCAGUGGGUUCCCCAUUAUCUAAACUCAGAUUAUUAGACUUCUUUAGGGCCUUGAAGAUACAGAUGGCUUCCCUGAUGUCAAACACACACAAGAAAAGAUGCGUUUUGGUACUAUAGAGAAUCUGUCAGAUUCAC